rnacentral:rRNA from 1 species
UACGUAGGGGGCUAGCGUUGUCCGGAAUGAUUGGGCGUAAAGCGGGUGUAGGCGGUUGGGUAAGUCCGCGGUGAAAGCCGGGGGCUCAACCCUCGAAUGCCGGUGGAUACUGUCGGGCUAGAGUACGGAAGAGGCGAGUGGAAUUUCUGGUGUAGCGGUGAAAUGCGCAGAUAUCAGGAGGAACACCAAUUGCGAAGGCAGCUCGCUGGGACGUUACUGACGCUGAGACGCGAAAGCGUGGGGAGCAAACAGG